rnacentral:rRNA from 1 species
GAUGAACGCUGGCGGCGUGCCUAACACAUGCAAGUCGAGCGAAGCACUCUAAUUCGAUUCUUCGGAUGAAGAUUUUUGUGACUGAGCGGCGGACGGGUGAGUAACGCGUGGGCAACCUGCCUUACACAGGGGGAUAACAGUUAGAAAUGACUGCUAAUACCGCAUAAGACCACGGUACUGCAUGGUACAGUGGUAAAAACUCCGGUGGUGUAAGAUGGGCCCGCGUCUGAUUAGGUAGUUGGCGGGGUAACGGCCCACCAAGCCGACGAUCAGUAGCCGACCUGAGAGGGUGACCGGCCACAUUGGGACUGAGACACGGCCCAG